rnacentral:snRNA from 1 species
GUGCUCACUUCAGCUGCACAUAUACUGAAAUUGGAAAAAUACAGAGAUUAGCAUGGCCCCUGGGCAAGGAUGAAAAACAAAUUUGUGAAGCAUUCCAUAUUUUU